GAGCAUACAACACACCAAAAAACAACAGAAAUCAAUGUUCCAAUUUAUACAACUGCACCCACAACUCAAUUGAUGCCGACAAUUACAAAAGUCAUCACAACAGAACAACCUACCACGGAACACCCAACGACUGAAAAAACAACUCAAAUUAAUGUCCCAAUUUACACGACCGAACCGACAACUCAAAAAAUGCCAACAAUAACAAGCAAAAUAACUACUGAAAAACCAACCACUGAGCAUCUUACAACAGAGAAGACUACUGAAAUUAAUGUCCCAAUAUAUACCACUGAAUCCACAACUCAAAAGAUGCCAACAAUUAC